GUGGGGAAUAUUGGGCAAUGGGCGCAAGCCUGACCCAGCAACGCCGCGUGAGGGAAGAAGGCCUUCGGGUUGUAAACCUCUGUCCUUAGGGACGAAAAAAAUGACGGUACCUAAGGAGGAAGCUCCGGCUAACUACGUGCCAGCAGCCGCGGUAAUACGUAGGGAGCAAGCGUUGUCCGGAAUUACUGGGCGUAAAGGGUGCGUAGGCGGCUUGGCAAGUCAGAUGUGAAAUCCCCGGGCUUAACUCGGGGGGUGCAUUUGAAACUGCUGAGCUUGAGUGCAGGAGAGGAAAGCGGAAUUCCUAGUGUAGCGGUGAAAUGCGUAGAUAUUAGGAGGAACACCAGUGGCGAAGGCGGCUUUCUGGACUGUAACUGACGCUGAGGCACGAAAGCGUGGGGAGCAAACAGGAUUAGAUACCCUUGUAGUCC
rnacentral:rRNA from 1 species